rnacentral:rRNA from 1 species
UACGGAGGGUGCAAGCGUUGUCCGGAAUCACUGGUCGUAAAGGGCGCGUAGGCGGCCUGGUAAGUAGGGUGUGAAAUCCUGCGGCUUAACCGCAGGGCUGCCUUCUAAACUGUCAGGCUUGAGCACGGUAGAGGCAGAUGGAAUUCCCGGUGUAGCGGUGGAAUGCGUAGAGAUCGGGAAGAACAUCAGUGGCGAAGGCGGUCUGCUGGGCCGUUGCUGACGCUGAGGCGCGACAGCGUGGGGAGCAAACAGG